rnacentral:lncRNA from 1 species
AAGGACUGUAGGAUCCUGUCUCAGAAUGGGGUCCUCGUUCCACACCCACCAGUGCGCUUGAGAGGAUUGUUUAACUGCCCACUUUCUCCGCUCUGAUGAGGGGAAGGUGAUGUGCUCUUCCUCGCUUCCUGGCCAUAAGUGAUCCUCCCACCCUGAUCUCCUAAAGUGCUUUUCUCGGAGAUUAAGUAUGGUGUAAGGAGGUGCAUGAGUGCCGAGCUGACAAGACAGCACAGAGAGGAGAAGCAACUUGCCCAAAGUCACACAGCAGUAAGUUAGAGCCAGAAUGCAAAUACAGGUGCCGAAUCAGUCCACAUGCAUUGGAACCUGCAUGUUCUUCAUGUGUGUGCCUGCAUGGCACUGUUGGAGUUAAAUGUAUUUAAACACAUGUAUAUCGACUUCCCUUGGAGAAAAACAUCAAGAGUUCAUGCGCUGUACUGGCAAAUACCAAGAAAGGCAUGAGAUAUGCCUUUGACAAAUUAUAGAAAUGCACCCUUUGGUAUUUGUAAUACUCCUCUGGAACUUAUCUUUUUAUAAAGCAAUGCUUUGUAAUAAUUCUUUGCAAGAAUUUAAAACUAUUUUUGACUUCGAGUUUCAUACUUAAUGUAGUUAUAGUUGAGGGUUUUUUUCUUUUCCAUUUUUCUAAUCUAAGCACUAUAUUUGGAAACCAUUCAUGAACAAGAAAAAGGUUUCUUUGGCUUUUUUGUCUUUCUUUCUUUUUUCUAUAGACUGUGUCUCAUUCUGUUGCCCAGACUGGAGUGCAGUGGUGCAAUCAUAGCUCACUGCAGCUUCAAAUUCCUGGAUGCAAGUGAUCCCCCUGCCUCAGCCUCCUAAGUGCUUGGGACUGCAGGAAUGUGCCAUCAUGCCUGGCUAAUUUUUAUAUAGUUUUUGCAGAGAUGGAAUCUCGCUAUGUUGCCCAGUCUGGUCUCCAACUCCUGGGCUUAAGGGAUCCUCCCAACUUGACCUCCCAAAG